UUUUCAUCAGACAAUCUGUGUGAGCACUNNNNNNNNNNNNNNNNNNNNUUCUUUAAGGUAAGGAGGUGAUCCAACCGCAGGUUCCCCUACGGUUACCUUGUUACGACUUCACCCCAGUCAUGAAUCACAAAGUGGUAAGCGCCCUCCCGAAGGUUAAGCUACCUACUUCUUUUGCAACCCACUCCCAUGGUGUGACGGGCGGUGUGUACAAGGCCCGGGAACGUAUUCACCGUGGCAUUCUGAUCCACGAUUACUAGCGAUUCCGACUUCAUGGAGUCGAGUUGCAGACUCCAAUCCGGACUACGACGCACUUUAUGAGGUCCGCUUGCUCUCGCGAGGUCGCUUCUCUUUGUAUGCGCCAUUGUAGCACGUGUGUAGCCCUGGUCGUAAGGGCCAUGAUGACUUGACGUCAUCCCCACCUUCCUCCAGUUUAUCACUGGCAGUCUCCUUUGAGUUCCCGGCCGGACCGCUGGCAACAAAGGAUAAGGGUUGCGCUCGUUGCGGGACUUAACCCAACAUUUCACAACACGAGCUGACGACAGCCAUGCAGCACCUGUCUCACGGUUCCCGAAGGCACAUUCUCAUCUCUGAAAACUUCCGUGGAUGUCAAGACCAGGUAAGGUUCUUCGCGUUGCAUCGAAUUAAACCACAUGCUCCACCGCUUGUGCGGGCCCCCGUCAAUUCAUUUGAGUUUUAACCUUGCGGCCGUACUCCCCAGGCGGUCUACUUAACGCGUUAGCUCCGGAAGCCACGCCUCAAGGGCACAACCUCCAAGUAGACAUCGUUUACGGCGUGGACUACCAGGGUAUCUAAUCCUGUUUGCUCCCCACGCUUUCGCACCUGAGCGUCAGUCUUUGUCCAGGGGGCCGCCUUCGCCACCGGUAUUCCUCCAGAUCUCUACGCAUUUCACCGCUACACCUGGAAUUCUNNNNNNNNNNNNNNNNNNNNCCCCCCUCUACAAGACUCAAGCCUGCCAGUUUCGAAUGCAGUUCCCAGGUUGAGCCCGGGGAUUUCACAUCCGACUUGACAGACCGCCUGCGUGCGCUUUACGCCCAGUAAUUCCGAUUAACGCUUGCACCCUCCGUAUUACCGCGGCUGCUGGCACGGAGUUAGCCGGUGCUUCUUCUGCGGGUAACGUCAAUUGCUGCGGUUAUUAACCACAACACCUUCCUCCCCGCUGAAAGUACUUUACAACCCGAAGGCCUUCUUCAUACACGCGGCAUGGCUGCAUCAGGCUUGCGCCCAUUGUGCAAUAUUCCCCACUGCUGCCUCCCGUAGGAGUCUGGACCGUGUCUCAGUUCCAGUGUGGCUGGUCAUCCUCUCAGACCAGCUAGGGAUCGUCGCCUUGGUGAGCCGUUACCUCACCAACAAGCUAAUCCCAUCUGGGCACAUCUGAUGGCAAGAGGCCCGAAGGUCCCCCUCUUUGGUCUUGCGACGUUAUGCGGUAUUAGCCACCGUUUCCAGUAGUUAUCCCCCNNNNNNNNNNNNNNNNNNNNCCAUCAGGCAGUUUCCCAGACAUUACUCACCCGUCCGCCACUCGUCAGCAAAGCAGCAAGCUGCUUCCUGUUACCGUUCGACUUGCAUGUGUUAGGCCUGCCGCCAGCGUUCAAUCUGAGCCAUGAUCAAACUCUUCAAUUUAAAAGUUUGAUGCUCAAUGAAUUAAACUUCGUAAUGAAUUACGUGUUCACUCUUGAGACUUGGUAUUCAUUUUUCGUCU
rnacentral:rRNA from 1 species